AAUCUUGCACAAUGGGCGAAAGCCUGAUGCAGCGACGCCGCGUGAGUGAAGACGUACUUCGGUAUGUAAAGCUCUAUCAGCAGGGACGAUAAUGACGGUACCUGACUAAGAAGCCCCGGCCAACGACGGGCCAGCAGCCGCGGUAAUGUGUAGGGGGCAAGCGUUAUCCGGAUUUACUGGGUGUAAAGGGAGCGUAGGUGGUAGUGUAAGUCAGAUGUGAAAGCCCGUUGCUUAACAGCGGGAUUGCAUCAGAAACUACAUUACUAGAGUGCAGAAAAGGUAAGUGGAAUUCCUAGUGUAGCGGUGAACUGCGUAGAUAUUAGGAGGAACAUCAGUGGCGACGGCGGCUUACUGGACUGUAACUGACACUAAGGCUCAAAAGCGUGGGAAGCAAACA
rnacentral:rRNA from 1 species